UGUCUUUUAGAAAUUAAUUUAAAGUCUAACCUGCCCACUGAAAUUUUUAAAUGGCCGCAGUAUCCUAACUGUGCAAAGGUAGCAUAAUCAUUAGUCUUUUAAUUGAAGGCUGGAAUGAAUGGUUGGAUGAAAUAUUAACUGUUUCAUAAAAAUUUAUAAUAGAAUUUUAUUUUUUAGUCAAAAAGCUAAAAUUUAAUUAAAAGACGAGAAGACCCUAUAAAUCUUUAUACCUAAAAAAUUACAAUUAUAUAGAUAAUUUAAAUUUUAAUUUUUUAUGGUAUUUUAUUGGGGUGAUAUUAAAAUUUAAUAAACUUUUAAUUUAUAAUUUACAUAAAUUAAUGAAUUUUUGAUCCAUUUAUUAUGAUUAAAAAAUUAAGUUACUUUAGGGAUAACAGCGUAAUUUUUUUAGAGAGUUCAUAUUGAUAAAAAAGAUUGCGACCUCGAUGUUGGAUUAAGAUACAGUUUUAGGUGCAGCAGCUUAAACUUAAAGUCUGUUCGACUUUUAAAUUCUUACAUGAUC
rnacentral:rRNA from 1 species